CAGCCGCCGCGGUAAUACGUAGGGGGCGAGCGUUGUCCGGAAUUACUGGGCGUAAAGGGUGCGCAGGCGGCCGAUUAAGUCAGAUGUGAAAUACCACGGCUCAACUGUGGGGGUGCAUUUGAAACUGGUUGGCUUGAGUGCAGGAGAGGAAAGUGGAAUUCCUAGUGUAGCGGUGAAAUGCGUAGAGAUUAGGAGGAACACCAGUGGCGAAGGCGACUUUCUGGACUGUAACUGACGCUGAGGCACGAAAGCGUGGGUAGCGAACAGGAUUAGAUACCCUGGUAGUCCACGCCGUAAACGAUGGAUACUAGGUGUAGGGGGUAUCGACCCCCCCUGUGCCGGAGUUAACGCAAUAAGUAUCCCGCCUGGGGAGUACGGCCGCAAGGCUAAAACUCAAAGGAAUUGACGGGGGCCCGCACAAGCAGCGGAGCAUGUGGUUUAAUUCGAAGCAACGCGAAGAACCUUACCAGGGCUUGACAUCCCCCUGACCGGUACAGAGAUGUACCUUUUCUUCGGAACAGGGGAGACAGGUGGUGCAUGGCC
rnacentral:rRNA from 1 species